rnacentral:rRNA from 1 species
AAGCUUGCUUUCUCCGCCGGCGACCGGCGCACGGGUGAGUAACACGUAUGCAACCUGCCCCUGUCAGGGGGACAACCCGCCGAAAGGCGGGCUAAACCCGCGUACAUGCCACCGGGGCAUCCCGGAGGCAGGAAAGGCUUCGGCCGGACAGGGAUGGGCAUGCGGCGCAUUAGGCAGUAGGCGGGGUAACGGCCCACCUAACCGACGAUGCGUAGGGGUUCUGAGAGGAAGGUCCCCCACACUGGUACUGAGACACGGACCAGACUCCUACGGGAGGCAGCAGUGAGGAAUAUUGGUCAAUGGUCGGGAGACUGAACCAGCCAAGCCGCGUGAGGGAGGAAGGUACAGAGUAUCGUAAACCUCUUUUGUCAGGGAACAAAGGCGGGGACGUGUCCCCGGAUGAGUGUACCUGAAGAAAAAGCAUCGGCUAACUCCGUGCCAGCAGCCGCGGUAAUACGGAGGAUGCGAGCGUUAUCCGGAUUUAUUGGGUUUAAAGGGUGCGCAGGCGGUCUGUUAAGUCAGCGGUCAAAGCCCGGGGCUCAACCCCGGCCCGCCGUUGAAACUGGCAGUCUCGAGUUGGAGAGAAGUAUGCGGAAUGCGCGGUGUAGCGGUGAAAUGCAUAGAUAUCGCGCAGAACUCCGAUUGCGAAGGCAGCAUGCCGGCUCCACACUGACGCUGAGGCACGAAAGCGUGGGUAUCGAACAAGAUUAGAUACCCUGGUAGUCCACGCAGUAAACGAUGAAUUAUGGCUGUCCGGGGGGACUGACCCCUGGGUGGCGAAGCGAAAGCGAAUAAGCAUUCCACCUGGGGAGUACGCCGGCAACGGUUGAAACUCAAAGGAGUUGACGGGGGCCCGCACAAGCGGAGGAACAUGUGGUUUAAUUCGAUGAUACGCGAGGAACCUUACCCGGGCUCAAACGGGGAGUGGCGCAGGCAGAGACGCCUGUUUCCCACGGGACACUCCCCGAGGUGCUGCAUGGUUGUCGUCAGCUCGUGCCGUGAGGUGUCGGCUUAAGUGCCAUAACGAGCGCAACCCCCGCGUGCAGUUGCUAACAGUCAACGCUGAGGACUCUGCACGGACUGCCGGCGCAAGCCGCGAGGAAGGCGGGGAUGACGUCAAAUCAGCACGGCCCUUACGUCCGGGGCGACACACGUGUUACAAUGGGUGGUACAGCGGGAAGCCAGGCGGCGACGCCGAGCGGAACCCGGAAUCCACUCUCAGUUCGGAUCGGAGUCUGCAACCCGACUCCGUGAAGCUGGAUUCGCUAGUAAUCGCGCAUCAGCCAUGGCGCGGUGAAUACGUUCCCGGGCCUUGUACUCACCGCCCGUCAAG